UACAGAGGGUGCAAGCGUUGCUCGGAUUUACUGGGCGUAAAGCGUACGCAGACGGUGAGGAAGGUCGGAUGUGAAAGCCCUGGGCUCAACCCAGGAACUGCAUCCGAAACCCCCUCGCUAGAGUAUAGGAGAGGGAAGCGGAAUUCCUGGUGUAGAGGUGAAAUUCGUAGAUAUCAGGAGGAACAUCUGCGGCGAAGGCGGCUUCCUGGCCUAUUACUGACGUUCAGGUACGAAAGCGUGGGUAGCAAACAGG
rnacentral:rRNA from 1 species